rnacentral:lncRNA from 1 species
ACCCAAAGCUCCGCGGUUCGGACCAUUCGUGAGUUCGAUCUCGAGUUGUUCGCGUCUCCUUUCUUCACGGAAACUUCCUUUGGGAACCGACUGGCUAAGAGAAACCGACGCGCAACUUUCAUUGAGUAAUGGAGGUCGCUAAAGUGAACGAAAACGCUGGUAGCCUCGUCGAGCAGUCGAUGAACAUCACGGCUGAAUCAAAAUCCGUCUCCACCAUGAAAUCCUUGGAGAGCGUACAGACCAAGUCCGUCAUCGAAUCGUCGACAUCCAUCAAGUCCGUGACCUCGUCGUCGACGAGGGCGCAGCAGUCCAUGGAGUACGAGGAGACGAUCGAGUACAGCGACUAGAUCCAUUAUCGUCACAUCAAAUCACAAUUAAAAAACAACAAACGGAUACCCUUUUGACGUCGUGCCACGCAGGGGAGAGUUGACGCGCGGUAUUUUUGACUCGACUCCAUCAUCGAUCCACGUAUGAUAUUAGUGUGUUCUCCCGAUCUAUUCCAACAUUUCCAUGUGAAAAAUUCGAGAAUGAAAUAGCCGAUGGAAGACACUCGAGAAGCUAGUCGCGUUCUUGUCGACUGCGUCACGCCAGCAUGGUUCUAUCGAAACGAGAUUCAAAGGAAAUACGGUUAGUGCCAGGCAGAGAGUCUUUUCUCGCGUCUCGUAUGUUGAUCUUGGAUCGAGUCAGGAAGAACGUGCGACCCAGCUACGAAAGCGGCAGGGAACAGAAGGAAGAACACCAGUCGAGUCGAAUAGCUGAUCGACGAGUCAAAGCGUUCACGGCCUUUCGAAGUGGCUUUCAAAAAUAACCACUCUCUUUUGCACCGCAUACCUGAUAAUGAAAAUAAGAAAAAUAAGAAAAUGAAGGAACGUUUGGAAGCCUCGACCAUGAGCUCUGGCUCUCCUCCAAUCGGCGCGGUCCCCCGCCAAAUAGCGAUUCGCCCUUUCCUUUUCUUCCUCUAAGGAUCGUCCCUGAUCGUAUCACCGAUCCUCCUUUAAAUACGCAAGCCUCUCCAUCAUUGUCACGACUUGAUCCCACAUUUCGUUGCAAACAUUUGAUUAUCUUUGUAUAAUAAAGUUUCUAAGAUACUGUU